UGCGAUGAGUCGAGAGGUCAGGUAGCCGACCCAUAGAUUGGCUACCCCGCGCGAGCGGAUAUGAUUUUUCGAGUGGGGCACGUUAACCUGCCGGAUUGCAGGGUGCCUGGUCUAUCAGGAAGUGGACAUCCU
rfam:Lactobacillus secaliphilus strain DSM 17896 NODE_29, whole genome shotgun sequence.